rnacentral:rRNA from 1 species
AUUGAACGCUGGCGGCAGGCCUAACACAUGCAAGUCGAACGAGUGGCGGACGGGUGAGUAAUGUCUGGGAAACUGCCUGAUGGUGGGGGAUAACUACUGGAAACGGUAGCUAAUACCGCAUACCAUCAGAUGUGCCCAGAUGGGAUUAGCUAGUAGGUGGGGUAACGGCUCACCUAGGCGACGAUCCCUAGCUGGUCUGAGAGGAUGACCAGCCACACGGGAACUGAGACACGGUCCAGACUCCUACGGGAGGCAGCAGUGGGGAAUAUUGCACAAUGUGAGCAAGCCUGAUGCAGCCAUGCCGCGUGUAUGAAGAAGGGCUUCGGGUUGUAAAGUAAUUUCAGCGGGGAGGCGUUACCAGAAGAAGAAGCACCGGCUAACUCCGUGCCAGCAGCCGCGGUAAUUC